UAAUAGGCACUGCUUCCGGCCAUCGUGU
rnacentral:sRNA from 1 species